UACGUAGGGUGCGAGCGUUAAUCGGAAUUACUAGGCGUAAAGUGUGCGCAGGCGGCAGAGCAAGUCGAGUGUGAAAGCCCCGGGCUUAACUUGGGAAUUGCGCUCGAAACUACUUUGCUGGAGUGUGGCAGAGGAAGGUGGAAUUCCACGUGUAGCGGUGAAAUGCGUAGAGAUGUGGAGGAACACCAAUGGCGAAGGCAGCCUUCUGGGCCAACACUGACGCUCAUGCACGAAAGCGUGGGGAGCAAACAGG
rnacentral:rRNA from 1 species